AUGUUAGCGGCGGACGGGUGAGUAACACGUGGGUAACCUGCCUGUAAGACUGGGAUAACUCCGGGAAACCGGAGCUAAUACCGGAUAGUUCCUUGAACCGCAUGGUUCAAGGAUGAAAGACGGUUUCGGCUGUCACUUACAGAUGGACCCGCGGCGCAUUAGCUAGUUGGUGAGGUAACGGCUCACCAAGGCGACGAUGCGUAGCCGACCUGAGAGGGUGAUCGGCCACACUGGGACUGAGACACGGCCCAGACUCCUACGGGAGGCAGCAGUAGGGAAUCUUCCGCAAUGGACGAAAGUCUGACGGAGCAACGCCGCGUGAGUGAUGAAGGUUUUCGGAUCGUAAAGCUCUGUUGUUAGGGAAGAACAAGUGCAAGAGUAACUGCUUGCACCUUGACGGUACCUAACCAGAAAGCCACGGCUAACUACGUGCCAGCAGCCGCGGUAAUACGUAGGUGGCAAGCGUUGUCCGGAAUUAUUGGGCGUAAAGGGCUCGCAGGCGGUUUCUUAAGUCUGAUGUGAAAGCCCCCGGCUCAACCGGGGAGGGUCAUUGGAAACUGGGAAACUUGAGUGCAGAAGAGGAGAGUGGAAUUCCACGUGUAGCGGUGAAAUGCGUAGAGAUGUGGAGGAACACCAGUGGCAGUGGCGAAGGCGACUCUCUGGUCUGUAACUGACGCUGAGGAGCGAAAGCGUGGGGAGCGAACAGGAUUAGAUACCCUGGUAGUCCACGCCGUAAACGAUGAGUGCUAAGUGUUAGGGGGUUUCCGCCCCUUAGUGCUGCAGCUAACGCAUUAAGCACUCCGCCUGGGGAGUACGGUCGCAAGACUGAAACUCAAAGGAAUUGACGGGGGCCCGCACAAGCGGUGGAGCAUGUGGUUUAAUUCGAAGCAACGCGAAGAACCUUACCAGGUCUUGACAUCCUCUGACAACCCUAGAGAUAGGGCUUUCCCUUCGGGGACAGAGUGACAGGUGGUGCAUGGUUGUCGUCAGCUCGUGUCGUGAGAUGUUGGGUUAAGUCCCGCAACGAGCGCAACCCUUGAUCUUAGUUGCCAGCAUUYAGUUGGGCACUCUAAGGUGACUGCCGGUGACAAACCGGAGGAAGGUGGGGAUGACGUCAAAUCAUCAUGCCCCUUAUGACCUGGGCUACACACGUGCUACAAUGGACAGAACAAAGGGCUGCGAGACCGCAAGGUUUAGCCAAUCCCACAAAUCUGUUCUCAGUUCGGAUCGCAGUCUGCAACUCGACUGCGUGAAGCUGGAAUCGCUAGUAAUCGCGGAUCAGCAUG
rnacentral:rRNA from 1 species